UACGGAGGGGGCUAGCGUUGUUCGGAAUUACUGGGCGUAAAGCGCACGUAGGCGGCUUUGUAAGUUAGAGGUGAAAGCCCGGGGCUCAACUCCGGAAUUGCCUUUAAGACUGCAUCGCUAGAAUUGUGGAGAGGUAAGUGGAAUUCCGAGUGUAGAGGUGAAAUUCGUAGAUAUUCGGAGGAACACCAGUGGCGAAGGCGGCUCACUGGCUCGAUACUGACGCUGGAGGUGCGAAAAGCGUGGGGAGCAAACAGG
rnacentral:rRNA from 1 species